UACGAAGGGGGCUAGCGUUGCUCGGAAUCACUGGGCGUAAAGGGUGCGUAGGCGGGUCUUUUAAGUCAGGGGUGAAAGCCUGGGGCUCAACCUCAGAAUUGCUUUUGAAACUGUGAAACUUGAGUAUCAGAGAGGAUAGUGGAAUUCCUAGUGUAGAAGUGAAAUUCGUAGAUAUUAGGAGGAACAUCGGUGGCGAAGGCGGCUAUCUGGCUGAAUACUGACGCUGUUGCACGAAAGCGUGGGGAGCAAACAGG
rnacentral:rRNA from 1 species